rnacentral:rRNA from 1 species
CGCAGCAAUGCGUUCAGUUGACCGGUACUAAUUGUCCGAUAGGCUUGAUUUGAUCCAG